GCCCCGAUAGUUUAGAGGCCAAGAAUGCCUGCCUUUCACGCUGGUGACCCGAGUUCGAAUCUCGGUCGGGGCG
rnacentral:tRNA from 1 species